rnacentral:rRNA from 1 species
GAUGAACGCUAGCGGCAGGCUUAACACAUGCAAGUCGAGGGGUAUAGUAGCAAUACUAGAGACCGGCGCACGGGUGCGUAACGCGUAUGCAAUCUACCUUUUGCAGAGGGAUAGCCCCAGAGAAAAUUUGGGAUUAAUACCUCAUAGUAUAGAACAAUCGCAUGAUUGAGCUAUUAAAGUCACAACGGCAAAAGAUGAGCAUGCGUCCCAUUAGUUAGUUGGUAAGGUAACGGCUUACCAAGACUACGAUGGGUAGGGUCCUGAGAGGGAGAUCCCCCACACUGGUACUGAGACACGGACCAGACUCCUACGGGAGGCAGCAGUGAGGAAUAUUGGACAAUGGGCGGCAAAGCCGUGAUCAGCCAUGCCGCGUGCAGGAUGACGGU